rnacentral:lncRNA from 1 species
GUUGGAAAAAAAGAUUUGCUAAAAUUUCAAUUGUAAAAAUAGGUAUAUAUGUAUACACAUGUUACUGGUUGAGAUUUGGGAAACUAAAAAAACAUGGUGAAUCAGUUACCGCAUUUGAAAAUCAAUAAAUAAUUAACCAUCUUUUAUAUUAUUCUAGUCAUUAAAUUGUUAUAUGCGGCAAAUCAUUCAUUAUUUUCUUUUGUACAUAUCUAACUACUUUAGACUUAUUCUUAUAAAUAAAUUUUUAUAA